GCCGAAGUGGCGGAAUUGGCAGACGCGCUAGGUUCAGGACCUAGUCCCUGUAACGGGGGUGCAGGUUCAAGUCCUGUCUUCGGCA
rnacentral:tRNA from 1 species